CGACGCUUCCACUGUAAUGAUCCUUCCGUAGGUGAACUUGCGGAAGGAUCAUUACAGUGGAAGGGUCGAGCCGCGUAUCCCGCCCCGGGGGGGGGAGCCCGCGGCCCGUACCUCACCACCCUUGUCUACUGAACCAAUGUUGCCUUGGCAGGCCUGCCGCUCGCGGCUGCCGGGGGUCGCCGCGCAGGCGCCCCGGGCUCGCGCCUGCCAGAGGAGCGUUUGAACUCGAUUUGAAGAACUGUCAGUUUGAGCGUAACAGCAAGAAUCAAAC
rnacentral:misc_RNA from 1 species